rnacentral:rRNA from 1 species
UACAGAGGGUGCAAGCGUUAAUCGGAAUUACUGGGCGUAAAGGGCGCGUAGGCGGUCUUCUAAGUCUUGUGUGAAAUCCCUCGGCUCAACUGAGGAACUGCACGGGAUACUGGAAGACUUGAGUUCGGGAGAGGGAAGCGGAAUUCCGGGUGUAGCGGUGAAAUGCGUAGAUAUCCGGAGGAACACCGGUGGCGAAGGCGGCUUCCUGGACCAACACUGACACUGAGGAGCGAAAGCCAGGGGAGCAAACGGG